rnacentral:rRNA from 1 species
GAUGAACGCUCGCUGUGUGCCUAAUACACGCAUGUUGAACGGGAUGUAGCAAUACAUUCAGUAGCGAAUGGGUGAGUAACACGUACCUAACCUACCUUUAAGACUGGGAUAACUAUUGGAAACAAUAGCUAAUACCGGAUAUAGUUAUUUAUCGCAUGAUGAGUAAUAGAAAGGAGCUUCACAGCUUCACUUAAAAAUGGGGGUGCGGAACAUUAGUUAGUUGGUAGGGUAAUGGCCUACCAAGACGAUGAUGUUUAGCCGGGCCGAGAGGCUGUACGGCCACACUGGGACUGAGAUACGGCCCAGACUCCUACGGGAGGCAGCAGUAAGGAAUUUUCCACAAUGAGCGAAAGCUUGAUGGAGCGACACAGCGUGCAGGAUGAAGUUCUUCGGAAUGUAAACUGCUGUUAUAAGGGAAGAAAAAAUAGAAUAGGAAAUGAUUUUAUCUUGACGGUACCUUAUUAGAAAGCGACGGCAAACUAUGUGCCAGCAGCUGCGGUAAUACAUAGGUCGCAAGCGUUAUCCGGAAUUAUUGGGCGUAAAGCGUCCGUAGGUUUUUUGCUAAGUCUGGAGUUAAAUGCUGAAGCUCAACUUCAGUCCGCUUUGGAUACUGGCAAAAUAGAAUUAUAAAGAGGUUAGCGGAAUUCCUAGUGAAGCGGUGGAAUGCGUAGAUAUUAGGAAGAACACCAAUAGGCGAAGGCAGCUAACUGGUUAUAUAUUGACACUAAGGGACGAAAGCGUGGGGAGCAAACAGG